AGGGUUUGAUCCUGGCUCAGAACGAACGUUGGCGGCGUGGAUUAGGCAUGCAAGUCGAACGAAUCCCGUGGGGGCAACUCUGCGGGGGAAGUGGCGAAAGGGGCAGUAAGGCGUGGGUAACUUGCCUUGGAGUCUGGAAUAGCCUUUCUAACGAAAGGGUAAAACCGGAUGACGUAGAGGGGUGGCAUCACUCAGCUACGAAAGGUUACGCUCCAAGAGAGGCCCACGUAGUAUUAGCUAGUUGGUGUGGUAACGGCACACCAAGGCCAAGAUGCUUAGCAGGUGUGAGAGCACGACCUGCGCCACUGGCACUGGGACACUGGCCAGACUCCUACGGGAGGCUGCAGUCGAGGAUCUUCGGCAAUGGGCUAACGCCUGACCGAGCGACGCCGCGUGUGCGAUGAAGGCCUUCGGGUUGUAAAGCACUGUCGUGGGGAAGAAAAGCCGCAAGGCUUGAUCGACCCCAGGAGGAAGCACGGGCUAAGUUCUUGCCAGCAGCCGCGGUAAGACGAACCGUGCAAACGUUGUUCGGAAUCACUGGGCUUAAAGGGCGCGUAGGCGGGCCUGAAAGUCAGGGGUGAAAUCCCACGGCUCAACCGUGGAAGUGCCUUUGAUACUUCAGGUCUAGAGGGAUGUAGGGGCGUGCGGAACUUCCGGUGGAGCGGUGAAAUGCGUAGAUAUCGGAAGGAACACCGGUGGCGAAAGCGGCGCGCUGGACAUCUACUGACGCUGAGGCGCGAAAGCCAGGGGAGCAAACGGGAUUAGAUACCCCGGUAGUCCUGGCCCUAAACGAUGGGUACUAGAUUGUGGGCUUACAUGGGUUCACAGUCGAAGCAAAAGUGAUAAGUACCCCGCCUGGGGAGUAUGGUCGCAAGGCUGAAACUCAAAGGAAUUGACGGGGGCUCACACAAGCGGUGGAGCAUGUGGCUUAAUUCGAGGCUACGCGAAGAACCUUAUCCUGGGAUUGACAUGUGCGAAAGCGUCAGAGGGUAGUCCUGCGGAAACGUAGGGCGAUGGUAACCAAUCCAGUUCUGACACAGGUGCUGCAUGGCUGUCGUCAGCUCGUGUCGUGAGAUGUUGGGUUAAGUCCCCUAACGAGCGAAACCCCUGUCUCCAGUUGCCAACGCGUAAUGGCGGGGACUCUGGAGAGACUGCCGGUGUUAAACCGGAGGAAGGUGGGGAUGACGUCAAGUCCUCAUGGCCCUUAUGCCCAGGGCUGCACACGUGCUACAAUGGCGUAUACAGAGGGAAGCAACCUCGCAAGAGUAAGCAAAUCUCAAAAAAUACGCCUCAGUUCAGAUCGAAGGCUGCAACUCGCCUUCGUGAAGUUGGAAUCGCUAGUAAUCGCGGGUCAGCAACACCGCGGUGAAUGUGUUCCUGAGCCUUGUACACACCGCCCGUCAAGCCACGAAAGGGAGGGAGGGGCCAAGUCGCCUUGCUAACCGCAAGGAGGUAAGCGCCUAACCCUUAACUCCUGAUUGGGACUAAGUCGAAACAAGGUA
rnacentral:rRNA from 1 species